GACGAACGCUGGCGGCGUGCUUAACACAUGCAAGUCGAACGGAAAGGCCCUGCUUUUGUGGGGUGCUCGAGUGGCGAACGGGUGAGUAACACGUGAGUAACCUGCCCUUGACUUUGGGAUAACUUCAGGAAACUGGGGCUAAUACCGGAUAGGAGCUCCUGCUGCAUGGUGGGUGUUGGAAAGUUUCGGCGGUUGGGGAUGGACUCGCGGCUUAUCAGCUUGUUGGUGGGGUAGUGGCUUACCAAGGCUUUGACGGGUAGCCGGCCUGAGAGGGUGACCGGCCACAUUGGGAUUGAGAUACGGCCCAGACUCAUACGGGAGGCAGAAGUGGGGAAGAUUGAACAAUGGGCGGAAGCCUGAUGCAGCAACGCCGCGUGCGGGAUGACGGCCUUCGGGUUGUAAACCGAUUUCGCCUGUGACGAAGCGUGAGUGACGGUAAUGGGUAAAGAAGCACCGGCUAACUACGUG
rnacentral:rRNA from 1 species